UGGAAUCAGUUUGAAGAUCGUUUUUUGUUCAGGCUGUGACAUUAUCAUUUUUGGGAGCUUUGUGUACCGCCACUAUCUUAUUUUUAGCACCAUCUUCCAUUACCACAUAAAUUCCUCGUGGUAUAUCAAUAGCCGUCAAAAGAGGAUCAUCAUAAUUGGGAUCAUAAUCUGGACGAUCUCUUCUGUAAGCCUCAGCGGCAGGUAACAAUACACUUUCUGCGAAUUGUAUUUCACAAUCAUCUCCCUCUACAAAUGAAUAUACAAUACAAACAAAUUAAUGUUGCAUUAUUUAAUCAAGUUAAUCUAUCAUUCAAAUAAUGCAACUGUAGCAAAUUUCUAUGGAUACACACAAAGACACAUACCAUAUUUGGUUUAAACGUAUCGUUAUUUAAUAUUUAGUUUAAUAUUU